UAGAAAUUCACAAACACACAACAUAUAAACUAUGUACACUCGAUUCUACCCUAAGAUUCAAACGGAAACUAGAGUCUACUUUAAAUAAAAUGUUGCCAAGUGUAGUUUGCUAUAUGGUAAAUAACAGUUUACGAGUCAGUUGCUGCUAAAAUAAACGACCAUAUAAAACCAAAUCUGGAGCUUUAAGUUACAAACUAGAAAAUAAAAAAGGAAAGGAAAGGAAAGGAAAAGCUAUAAACUAGAAAAAUGAUACAAGUUUAACCCAUGAGACAAUCACUUUAAGGUCCCAUAAACAAAUCCAAACAAAUCAUCCGGCAUUUGGUUCAUCGUCUGUAGCUUCAUUAAACGAUGCAGCCAAGAUUUCCGCAAGGCUCGGUUGAGAACUAGAUUGCUUAGGAGAUUCCAAGACUCGAGGUUUUUUUGCACCAAGAGACUGAGGAAGCCAUUGUUUCUUGUGUGACUUCCAAAUUACAGGUUCUAGAAACUUCCACGGGUCUUCCACCAUUGACUUGUUAAAGAAACGAUCAGGCCGAUCUUCUGCCGAUAUAUCAUUAUGGUUCCCACCCCGUCCUCGCCCCCUACCCUGUCCUGAC
rnacentral:lncRNA from 1 species